AUAAUGCAGUCGAGCGAACAGAUAAGGAGCUUGCUCCUUUGACGUUAGCGGCGGACGGGUGAGUAACACGUGGAUAACCUACCUAUAAGACUGGGAUAACUUCGGGAAACCGGAGCUAAUACCGGAUAACAUAUUGAACCGCAUGGUUCAAUAGUGAAAGGCGGCUUUGCUGUCACUUAUAGAUGGAUCCGCGCCGUAUUAGCUAGUUGGUAAGGUAACGGCUUACCAAGGCAACGAUACGUAGCCGACCUGAGAGGGUGAUCGGCCACACUGGAACUGAGACACGGUCCAGACUCCUACGGGAGGCAGCAGUAGGGAAUCUUCCGCAAUGGGCGAAAGCCUGACGGAGCAACGCCGCGUGAGUGAUGAAGGUCUUCGGAUCGUAAAACUCUGUUAUCAGGGAAGAACAAAUGUGUAAGUAACUGUGCACAUCUUGACGGUACCUGAUCAGAAAGCCACGGCUAACUACGUGCCAGCAGCCGCGGUAAUACGUAGGUGGCAAGCGUUAUCCGGAAUUAUUGGGCGUAAAGCGCGCGUAGGCGGUUUUUUAAGUCUGAUGUGAAAGCCCACGGCUCAACCGUGGAGGGUCAUUGGAAACUGGAAAACUUGAGUGCAGAAGAGGAAAGUGGAAUUCCAUGUGUAGCGGUGAAAUGCGCAGAGAUAUGGAGGAACACCAGUGGCGAAGGCGACUUUCUGGUCUGUAACUGACGCUGAUGUGCGAAAGCGUGGGGAUCAAACAGGAUUAGAUACCCUGGUAGUCCACGCCGUAAACGAUGAGUGCUAAGUGUUAGGGGGUUUCCGCCCCUUAGUGCUGCAGCUAACGCAUUAAGCACUCCGCCUGGGGAGUACGACCGCAAGGUUG
rnacentral:rRNA from 1 species